rnacentral:lncRNA from 1 species
CUCCAACUCUNUAUUGUUCACAAGUCACAUGAAAUAAAAUUGCCAUUCAUCUCAAACAAUCAACAUCUUUACAUGCAAAUGCCAUCAAAAGGACUUUUCCAAGGCUUGUAAUGAGGUUGGGCUAACAAGAAAAAUUGGUUUUUCCGGAAAACAAAAUCCUUGAGUUAAAAGAGUUUUCAUAAUAUUUAACAAAUUAAGCACAACUCUCUUCCUCACAAUCUCACUUAUUCCCAACUUUUUCCCCUUUUCUUUUUCAUUGAGCUCAUCUUCAUGCUUUUCUUCUUUUCUUUUCUUUUUCCCAUGAUUUUUUUUUUCUUUUUCAACAUUUGAGCUCAAUGCUUUUCAUUUGCCUUUCAAUUUCCCCCAUACAACCCC